AUUUUUAGCUAGCUGGGGUGGGUGGAAGUUAGUGUGGAAUUGGGGAAAUUGGUGUUAGGCUAGUUAUGGGUUAACAUUAAAAAAUGUUUUAAUAAAAAUUUUUUAAAAAGUAAAAAAAAAAACUCCUUUACCCAGUCCUAAUAAAAAUUAACCCCUUCCCUACCAGUUGAUCACUACCUACAGUGAUCAAAAUACAGAUCACAGUAUUAUACUUAAUACCCUUAGGGUUAACUUAUUUUUUUUAAACCCUCAGGGGUUCAAUUUAGGGAUUGACCGAUAUUGAUUUAUUAGAGCCGAUGCCGAUAAUCUGUGAACUUUCAGGCCGAUAGCCGAUAACUUGCUGAUAUUCUGUACAUUUACCAUUUUGAAAAAAAAAAUAUUUCUAAAGGUAAAUGCACAAAAUAUACACGCCACAUGUAGUGGAUGCAGUGUGUUUAGAAAGGGGAGCUGUGUGUGUUUGUGUAGUGGAUGCAGUGUGUAUUUGUGUAGUGUGUAUAUAAUGAAUGCAGGGUGUGUGUUUGUGUAGUGUGUAUAUAUAGUGAAUGCAGAGUGUGUUUGUGUAGUGUGUAUAGUGAAUGCAGUGAGUGUUUGUGUAGUGUGUAUAUAUAGUGAAUGCAGAGUGUGUGUGUAUAGUGAAUGUAGUGUGUGGUGUGCGUAAAGUGAAUGCAGUGUGUGUAGUGUGCGUAAAGUGAAUGCAGUGUGUAUGUAGUGUGCGUAAAGUGCAUGUAGUGUGUGUAUGUAGUGUGCGUAAAGUGCAUGCAGUGUGUGUAGUGUACGUAAAGUGAAUGCAGUGUGUGUGUGUAGUGUGUAAAGUGAAUGCAGUGUGUUUGUGUAGUGUGCGUAAAGUGAAUGAAGUGUGUCUAGUGAAUGCAGUGUGUUUGUGUAGUGUGUGUAUAUAAUGAAUGCAGUGUGUGUUUGUGUAGUGUGUGUACAUAAUGAAUGCAGUGUGUGUGUGUUUGUGUAGUGUGUAUAUAAUGCAGUGUGUGUGUGUGUAUAUAAUGCAGUGUGUGUGUGUGCAUAAUGUAGUGUAUGUGUGUAUAUAAUGCAGUGUGUGGGUGUAUAUAAUGCAGAGUAUGUACUGUGUGUAGUGUGUGUGUAUAUGAUGCAGUGUGUGUAGUGUGUGUGUAUAUAAUGCAGUGUUUGUGUGUAUAUAAUGACUGCAGAGUGUGUGUGUGUGUGUUUGUGUAGUGUGUGUAUAUAAUGAAUGCAGUGUGUGUGUUUGUAAAUUGUGUGUGUGUUUCUGAAG